GGAAAAUAAUGAGAAACAAAGCACGUUAAAAAGCGUCGUUUGUCAUUUUUUUAAUAAUCACUUUAUGGCCAUUGUCAAGUUCAAUUUAUAUUUCGUGACGGGGUUAAAAUGUUUUCUUUUCGUUGAAUAUCAACCUUUCCAUUAUCAAGCUGACUCCAAUAAGCUCUUGGGCUAGACUGUAAAGGAACAACUUAACGCAAGAUCAAAAAACCGUUUUAAAAUUUCUCGCAGUUUCGUCUUCAACUGCAGCUGGCGAAAAGAUCAGGACAAGCAGAAUAGAUGAAUAGAUGAAUAGAUGAACAUCAAACGUUUCUACCAUCUCCAAACAGUAAUCAAACAAUGUAUUUUGACUCUUUAGCUUAUGAUAAACCGAAUUAAAAUAUAUUUUAAUCAUG